rnacentral:rRNA from 1 species
GAGUUUGAUUCAUGGCUCAGGACGAACGCUGGCGGCGUGCUUAACACAUGCAAGUCGAACGAUGAAGCGGUGCUUGCACCGUGGAUUAGUGGCGAACGGGUGAGUAAUACGUGAGUGACCUACCUUUGACUCUGGGAUAAGCCUGGGAAACUGGGUCUAAUACCGGAUACGACCAAUCUCUGCAUGGGGUGUUGGUGGAAAGCGUUAUGGAGUGGUUUUAGAUGGGCUCACGGCCUAUCAGCUUGUUGGUGAGGUAAUGGCUUACCAAGGCGACGACGGGUAGCCGGCCUGAGAGGGUGACCGGCCACACUGGGACUGAGACACGGCCCAGACUCCUACGGGAGGCAGCAGUGGGGAAUAUUGCACAAUGGGCGCAAGCCUGAUGCAGCGACGCCGCGUGAGGGAUGACGGCCUUCGGGUUGUAAACCUCUGUUAGCAUCGAAGAAGCGAAAGUGACGGUAGGUGCAGAGAAAGCGCCGGCUAACUACGUGCCAGCAGCCGCGGUAAUACGUAGGGCGCGAGCGUUGUCCGGAAUUAUUGGGCGUAAAGAGCUUGUAGGGCGGUUGGUCGCGUCUGCUGUGAAAGGCCGGGGCUUAACUCCGGUUUUGCAGUGGGUACGGGCUAACUAGAGUGCAGUAGGGGAGACUGGAAUUCCUGGUGUAGCGGUGGAAUGCACAGAUAUCAGGAGGAACACCGAUGGCGAAGGCAGGUCUCUGGGCUGUAACUGACGCUGAGAAGCGAAAGCAUGGGGAGCGAACAGGAUUAGAUACCCUGGUAGUCCAUGCCGUAAACGUUGGGCACUAGGUGUGGGGGACAUUCCACGUUUUCCGCGCCGUAGCUAACGCAUUAAGUGCCCCGCCUGGGGAGUACGGCCGCAAGGCUAAAACUCAAAGGAAUUGACGGGGGCCCGCACAAGCGGCGGAGCAUGCGGAUUAAUUCGAUGCAACGCGAAGAACCUUACCAAGGCUUGACAUGCAUUAGAUCGCGUCAGAGAUGGCGUUUCCCUUCGGGGCUGGUGUACAGGUGGUGCAUGGUUGUCGUCAGCUCGUGUCGUGAGAUGUUGGGUUAAGUCCCGCAACGAGCGCAACCCUCGUUCUAUGUUGCCAGCGGUUCGGCCGGGGACUCAUAGGAGACUGCCGGGGUCAACUCGGAGGAAGGUGGGGAUGACGUCAAAUCAUCAUGCCCCUUAUGUCUUGGGCUUCACGCAUGCUACAAUGGCCGGUACAGAGGGUUGCGAUACUGUGAGGUGGAGCUAAUCCCUUAAAGCCGGUCUCAGUUCGGAUUGGGGUCUGCAACUCGACCCCAUGAAGUCGGAGUCGCUAGUAAUCGCAGAUCAGCAACGCUGCGGUGAAUACGUUCCCGGGCCUUGCACACACCGCCCGUC